UUCGCAAUGCCCGAAAGGGUGACGAAGCGACGCCGCGUGAGCGAAGAAGGCCUUAGGGUUGUAAAGCUCUGUCGAGGGUUAUGAAAUGUAGGUGGGUUAAUACCCCGCUUAUUUGACAAAGGCCCCAAAGGAAGUCACGGCUAACUCUGUGCCAGCAGCCGCGGUAAUACAGAGGUGGCAAGCGUUGUUCGGUAUUAUUGGGCGUAAAGAGCACGUAGGUGGUUUUGUAAGUCAGGUGUGAAAGCCUUCUGUUCAAAGGAAGAACGGCAUCUGAAACUGCAGAUCUUGAGUGUAGGAGGGGAGAGUGGAACUUCUGGUGGAGCGGUGAAAUGCGUAGAUAUCAGAAGGAACGUCGGCGGCGAAAGCGACUCUCUGGCCUAUUACUGACACUGAGGUGCGAAAGUUAGGGGAGCAAACGGGAUUAGAUACCCCGGUAGUCCUAACCGUAAACGAUGGGCACUAAGUAGAGGGGUUUU
rnacentral:rRNA from 1 species